rnacentral:rRNA from 1 species
UACGUAGGGUGCGAGCGUUAAUCGGAAUUACUGGGCGUAAAGCGUGCGCAGGCGGUGAUGUAAGACCGAUGUGAAAUCCCCGGGCUUAACCUGGGAACUGCAUUGGUGACUGCAUUGCUCGAGUAUGGCAGGAGGGGGGGUGGAAUUCCACGUGUAGCAGUGAAAUGCGUAGAGAUGUGGAGGAACACCGAUGGCGAAGGCAGCCCCCUGGGCUGAGCAUUGACGCUCAGGCACGAAAGCGUGGGGAGCAAAGCAGGG